AUUGAACGCUGGCGGCAGGCCUAACACAUGCAAGUCGAGCGAGCGGCGGACGGGUGAGUAAUGUAUGGGGACUGCCCGAUAGAGGGGGAUAACUACUGGAAACGGUGGCUCAUACCGCAUACUAUCGGAUAACCCAUAUGGGAUUAGCUGGUAGGUGAGGUAACGGCUCACCUAGGCGACGAUCCCUAGCUGGUCUGAGAGGUUGAUCAGCCACACUGGGACUGAGACACGGCCCAAACUCCUACGGAGGCAGCAGUGGGGAAUAUUGCACAAUGGGCGAAAGCCUGAUGCAGCCAUGCCGCGUGUAUGAAGAAGGCCUUCGGGUGGUAAAGUACUUUCAGUCGGGAGGCGUUACCGACAGAAGAAGCACCGACUAACUCCGUGCCAGCCGCCGCGGUAAUAC
rnacentral:rRNA from 1 species